CUUGGUGUAAGUGUUAACCUUAAUGUGUGCAGUGAGUGGCUGCUUUAUUAUGCAGAUUUGUGUCGGUUAACGUGAUAUAGGCGUCGCGCUUCGGGUUUAAUUCGUUAUUAGCAAUUAAUUGAGCGUAAUUCGCGAGUUAGCGGUCAAUCAUUCAGCAAUUGUAGAAAAGUAAUCACACGCCAUGGAGUUAAUACGUGGAAGGCAAGGCUGGAUUUUUGCAUUUUUAAUGACUCUGAUUUAUUAAUGGCGACAAGAUGAUUAAGACAGCGUGAUAUAAGCCAUGGCGGGCAACAGUUAUUGGUGGUUGGUGGGAAGUUUGCGGCUAGGAACUCGGACACUGUGGAAAACUGCUUUCGGCAGUUCCGCACGCGCUUGGAAAUAUCGACACCAACUCAUAUACAUCUGUGGCUU